rnacentral:lncRNA from 1 species
CAGAUACAAAAAGGAGGAAAAAGACUUAGGGGUGAGAUUCAUCUCUCCUAACUUCAGGGAUAGGAUCCAUCUCACUGAAAUGUGGGCGUAUAGAGAGUGAUUCACUGACCAGACGUAGGAGUCUGCUUUACAGUGAGACAAAUCGCUUCCUAGGCUCUGCCGACCACGUUGACUGGAUCCCCAGUGCCGGCAGUGGGAGUGCAGACUUCCAGCUCACAUGUAGACUCUUGCAUUGCACCGUCCCACACUACCUCCCACCCAGACUGGCUUCAGGGCUGGGAUUCACUUCAUCUAAUUUCAGACGUCUUCGCAGCACACUUCUACAUCAAGCUGGUCACCCUGGGCUUCCUGCACCGUCAAUGGAGAGGCGCAGGGGCAGCCACCAUCGCGUGGGCUAGCUGGGGCAACAGGCGAGUCCCCGUGCUCUGCAACACGCGCCUCUGCUCCUGGGAAAGCCAGGGAAAACAAAGAGCAACAUUACCAUAAGGCUGUGUCCAAGCUGCGUCCCACCUGCAGCCGGGAGCAUGAACGCCUGAGCUGUGCCUGGGAGAGAGCCAGCGAGCACCAGCCAAAAGCCACCCCCGGGGUCUGCACUUCCAGUGCAGCUGUGUGGGUCACUGCUGGCCACUGCAUGAACCCAGGACUUUAUUUAUGGGCACGCAUGGAGCCUGGAUGUCUCACCAGUCCUAAUUCAGUGACAUAUUUAAUCCUUUGCUGGGCAGAGCCGCUGCGAUGGUGGGGUGGCUUUUUCAGUGGCUGGAUGUUUUGA